UACGUAGGGGGCUAGCGUUGUCCGGAAUCAUUGGGCGUAAAGCGCGCGUAGGCGGACCUGCAAGUCGGGGGUGAAAGCCCGAGGCUCAACCUCGGAACUGCCUUCGAUACUGCGGGUCUCGAGUCCGGGAGAGGCGAGUGGAAUUCCUAGUGUAGAGGUGAAAUUCGUAGAUAUUAGGAAGAACACCAGUGGCGAAGGCGGCUCACUGGCCCGGUACUGACGCUGAGGCGCGAAAGCGUGGGGAGCAAACAGG
rnacentral:rRNA from 1 species